UACGUAGGGUGCAAGCGUUACUCGGAAUUACUGGGCGUAAAGCGUGCGUAGGUGGUUCGUUAAGUCUGUCGUGAAAGCCCCGGGCUCAACCUGGGAAUGGCGAUGGAUACUGGCGGGCUAGAGUGCGGUAGAGGAGAGUGGAAUUCCCGGUGUAGCAGUGAAAUGCGUAGAGAUCGGGAGGAACAUCAGUGGCGAAGGCGGCUCUCUGGACCAGCACUGACACUGAGGCACGAAAGCGUGGGGAGCAAACAGG
rnacentral:rRNA from 1 species